rnacentral:rRNA from 1 species
AUUGAACGCUGGCGGCAGGCCUAACACAUGCAAGUCGAGCGAGCGGCGGACGGGUGAGUAAUGUCUGGGAAACUGCCUGAUGGAGGGGGAUAACUACUGGAAACGGUAGCUAAUACCGCAUACCAUCAGAUGUGCCCAGAUGGGAUUAGCUAGUAGGUGGGGUAACGGCUUACCUAGGCGACGAUCCCUAGCGGGUCUGAGAGGAUGACCAGCCAACCUGGAACUGAGACACGGUCCGGACUCCUACGGGAGGCAGCCGUGGGGAAUAUUGCACAAUGGGCGCAGGCCUGAUGCAGCCAUGCCGCGUGUGUUAAGAAGGCCUUCGGGUUGUAAAGCACUUUCAGCGGGGAGUCGUUACCCGCAGAAGAAGCACCGGCUAACUCCGUGCCAGCAGCCGCGGUAAUUC